UACGUAGGGACCGAGCGUUGUCCGGAAUCAUUGGGCGUAAAGAGCGUGUAGGCGGCCACUUAAGUCCUGCGUGAAAUCUUGCGGCUCAACCGCAAGCGGUCGUGGGAAACUGGGUGGCUAGAGUGCGGGAGAGGAGAGUGGAAUUCCUGGUGUAGCGGUGGAAUGCGCAGAUAUCAGGAAGAACACCCGUGGCGAAGGCGGCUCUCUGGAACGCAACUGACGCUGAGACGCGACAGCGUGGGGGAAGCAAACAUGGAUACGAA
rnacentral:rRNA from 1 species